rnacentral:guide_RNA from 1 species
AUAAACACAAUAAUAAACUUGUAGUAAGUGAAAGAUAGAGAUUA